rnacentral:rRNA from 1 species
GUGCCAGCCGCCGCGGUAAUUCCAGCUCCAAUAGCGUAUAUUAAAGUUGUUGUGGUUAAAAAGCUCGUAGUUGAACCUUGGGCCUGGCUGGCCGGUCCGCCUCACCGCGUGCACUGGUCCGGCCGGGCCUUUCCCUCUGUGGAACCCCAUACCCUUCACUGGGCGUGGCGGGGAAACAGGACAUUUACUUUGAAAAAAUUAGAGUGCUCCAGGCAGGCCUAUGCUCGAAUACAUUAGCAUGGAAUAAUAAAAUAGGACGCGCGGUUCUAUUUUGUUGGUUUAUAGGACCGCCGUAAUGAUUAAUAGGGACAGUCGGGGGCAUCAGUAUUCAACUGUCAGAGGUGAAAUUCUUGGAUCAGUUGAAGACUAACUACUGCGAAAGCAUUUGCCAAGGAUGUUUUCAUUAAUCAGGAACGAAAGUUAGGGGAUCGAAGACGAUCAGAUACCGUCGUAGUCUUAACCAUAAACUAUACCGACUAGGGAUCGGACGGUGUUAUUCAUGACCCGUUCGGCACCUUACGAGAAAUCAAAGUGCUUGGGCUCCAGGGGGAGUAUGGUCGCAAGGCUGAAACUUAAAGAAAUUGACGGAAGGGCACCACCAGGGGUGGAGCCUGCGGCUUAAUUUGACUCAACACGGGGAAACUCACCAGGUCCAGACACAAUAAGGGAUUGACAGAUUGAGAGCUCUUUCUUGAUUUUGUGGGUGGUGGUGCAUGGCCGUUCUUAGUUGGUGGGGGUGACUUGUCUGCUUAAUUGCGAUAACGAACGAGAU